rnacentral:rRNA from 1 species
UACAGAGGGGGCAAGCGUUGUUCGGAAUCACUGGGCGUAAAGGGUGCGUAGGCGGGUCUUUAAGUCAGGGGUGAAAUCCUGGAGCUCAACUCCAGAACUGCCUUUGAUACUGAAGAUCUUGAGUCCGGGAGAGGUGAGUGGAACUGCGAGUGUAGAGGUGAAAUUCGUAGAUAUUCGCAAGAGCACCAGUGGCGAAGGCGGCUCACUGGCCCGGUACUGACGCUGAGGCACGAAAGCGUGGGGAGCAAACAGG